UUUGUACGGAAUUUCCGUGAAUAUCCCCCGACGUGCCGUCACGAUCCGAGAAGUAGCAAAAAAAAAAAAGUCCAAGUCCACCUGUCACCACCGUUGGGAUAUUUAUACGUGUUACCCCCAAGCUCUGUAUUCAUAAACUAAAACACCAUAUAAGCACAAGGAGAGGCGGUUACACGACGGGACGGAGGAAAUCUCGAUCAUCGGCGGCGAAUUCUCCGGUUGAUGUGGCCUUGGGAUUCUAGAUUUUGCUUCACUUUGUUACUACCAUAAUGGCUGGCCUAAGGAACAUUCAUGAUCAGAAAGGUAUCGGUCAUGAAGACACAGUGUAUCGUUACUUGUGCCCCGUCAAAAAGGUGGGGAGCAUAAUUGGGAAGGGUGGUGAGAUCGUGAAGCAGAUAAGGUCUGAGACCAAAUCAAACGUGAGGAUCGAUGAGGCUUUUCCAGGUUGUGAGGAGCGUGUUGUUACCAUAUAUUCUUCUAGGGAGGAAACAAAUCCUUUUGGUGAUGAUGGAGAGCUUGUCUCACCUGCUUUCGAUGCCCUCUUCAAGUUGCAUGAGAGGAUUGUGGCAGAAGAGCUGGAUGCGGACAACAAUCUGGGCGAGAAUGAGAUGAUUACUGUCAGAAUGCUUGUGCCAUCAGAUCAGAUUGGAUGCAUUAUUGGGAAAGGUGGGCAAGUGAUCGAGAACUUGCGUAGUGAAACCGGUGCUCAAAUUCGUGUCAUAAAAGAUAACUUGCCUGCUUGUGCUUUGAGCCAUGACGACCUUCUUCAGAUAAUUGGAGAGCCGCUGGUUGUUCGAGAUGCCCUUUAUCAAGUUGCUUCACGGAUUCAUGAUAAUCCGUCACGAUUUCAGCUCUCCCUUCUGUCUUCUUCAAGUAACAUGCAUCAACCCGGGGGAAUGGUAAUGGGUGGAGCGCUGACAAGCUCUCACAGAAAUUACUCUGCCCAUAAAGGUGCAGCUUAUGCAAGGGAAUUUUCUGUUUGCUUCAUCUGUCCGGCUGGAAAUAUCGGAGGUGUUAUAGGAAAAGGUGGUGGGUUUAUAAAUCAGCUUAGAAGAGAAUCUGGUGCGAGCAUUAGAGUUAAUACGUCAGGAAAUAAUGAAGAAGAUUGUUUAAUUUUCGUAGCAUCGAACGAGUUCUUCGAAGAUCAAUCUCCAACAGUGACUGCAGCAUUACACCUACAACUGCGAUGCAGUGAGAGAGUGGGGAAGGAUUCCGGUGAUUCUUCAAUCGUGACACGUCUACUUGUACCGAGUUCACAAAUAGGAUGUCUUAUUGGAAAAGGCGGAGCUAUUAUAUCUGAGAUGAGGAGCGUGACGAAAGCCAAUAUUCGUAUCGGUCAAAAGGAAGACCUACCAAAGGCUGCACAUGAAGAUGAGGAGAUGGUUCAGAUAACCGGAAGUGUUGAUGUUGCUGUAAAGGCUCUUUCGCAAAUAAUUUUGCGACUGAGGGCCAAUGUGUUUGAGAUGGAUCGGGCACUUGUUUUGCUUCCAUCAUUCUUUCCUUACAUCUCCCCAUCUACUGAGACUUUCAAUAAGCCCAAGCAUGGAAAACGUGUUCACUCCCGUCCUUCAAGUCAACCGCCUACGAGUGACAGAAACGGUAGUCAACUGAACUCAAAUUCCCAGAGAAGAGAGCGGUAAACCAUGACAAAGCUUCUUGUUACAUAGUCCGGAAGCCAAUCUUAUAUUUGCCACUGAGGCCAUUUUGGAUGCAAGAAGAUUAGGUCAUCAAAGUUUCAGAAGCUUGAACCAGGAACUUUUUCAAUCUUUGCUCGUGAGGCUUGGCAGGUCGGGGAUUACUCUUUAAAGAAAGGGAGGUUCUUCAGCUGCUAGCAAGAGAAUGGAUUCCAGAAUCAAUUAUCAAGUAGGUAACCUUUGUACUUGAUUUGUGGUGAUUCAACCUGAGAAUUGCUUGUGACAUUGUCGAUGAAAUUCGUAGCUUCGUUCUAACCACUAUUUUCGCUUUUUCGUUUUAACUUUGCUGAUAUUGAGAGGUGGGAAUAAUGGAGAUGACAUCAUUUGAUUACUGAACCAGUUUGGAAUUUUUGUCUCUCCUGCGAGAAUAAGCUUGAUUUUUGUUCUGGUGAAGAGCUUGGUGUUGUAUUGGAGAUUUGCUCAUGUUUUUUUAAUCAGUUCCCAACUCCCAA